UGUCUCGGAUUCUCCAGUUCCAACCCCAAGUCCGUUUGUGUUGCAGCUUUCACUUUCUCUCCAUUUAACUGAUAUUCUGUUCUCCCUCCUCCCAAAGCGAACAGCCGCUGUCAGCCUGGGAGCGAUGAUAGUGGAAAAGUGGCACUGCCUGGAAAUACUAAAUAUAUUAAUGUUUCAAAGUUAAACCCAGUUACAUUAGGUUACAUCAAUUUCCGCCGCCGGAACUUUACCCGGAGAAGGCAGCACGUGGUGCCGGAAAUGGGGGCCGGAGUCCGGCCCGAUCCGGCUCGGCCCUCCCUCCACGGGCCCUGUGUCAUCUGCAAAUGUGGCCACUGUCCAUUCACUUCCUUCCUCUGAGUAAUGAAUAAAUAUUGUAAAGAAACUACAGAAGGUAGUGUGUACAGCCCAGAAGAUCACGGAAGCCAACCUUCCAUCCAUGGAUUCCAUUUACCGGCUUGCUGCUGCGGAAAGGCUGCCAACAUUAUCAAAGAUCCAUUGCAUCCUGGUAAUGAUCUCCUGCAACCUCUUCCGUCAGGCAGAAGAUACAGAAGCCUGAACACAUGCACGAGCAGGUUCAUGAACAGCUUCUUCCCAGCCAUUGUCAGGCUGAACAAUGGAGUCUGUAGCCUCAAAUAAUGCUAAUCUUGCUAACGUUGAUCUUGCCUAGCGCAUGCCCUGUGCAAUGUAACCUGUGUGCCUCUGUCGAAGUCUUUUUAAUCUGUACAUCCUUUGCUUACUAUGAUCUGCCUGUACCGCUCGUAAACAAAGCUUUUCACUACAUUUCGGUACACAUGACAAUAAGUAAAUAAAUCAAUAAACAGU